CUGGUGUAGACAGCAAGAUUGCUUCGCGUGCUCUCCGUGCGAUGUGGGGUGGUCUAUAUAAAGCAGCGUCGCCCACGCGCCCGCCUCACCUGGGCUGGCCCCAAGAAUGCUUCCACACUUUUCUUUCUUUUCCAUUUAUAUCACAUUUUGUCCAUUUUUCUCUGCAUACAUAUUAGUGUGUUUUGGGUCAAAUAUGCCAAUACUUUUCAUAUAAGUUUCAAAAACGGAAAUGCUAAUUUUCAUCCGGCUGAAAUCUUUUCGCAUUCAUCCGUUUUUCUGCUCGUUCGAUCCUUGUGUCAUGAUUCGUGAUUUCCUCUCUUUUUUUUUCCCUACCUCGGGGUGUUUUGUUUGUUAUCGGGCCCGCAACCUUCUCCUGGAGACCCGUUAAUCGGGGCGGGUAGCGUGUCGCAGACGGGUUUUUCCCUCGAAUUUCCUUUUUUUUCUCCUCUGCUGACUUUGUCCGUUUUCUUCCCCAUUUCCAGCGGCGCGAGCUUGAUGCAUUGAUUCAUGGCGAAUUUUGGCAAGAGAUCUCAGUCGCCGAUCUCUCGAGGGCGAGCCGGUGGCUAGGCAUCCGGUCCUCCUCCCCCCUCCCCCCUCCCAUCCCCUGCUUCCUUGUCCUCAAACGCACGCAGAGGGAGAGGCGAAAUCGAUGCCAUGGUGAUCCGGCUGCGUUGUCUUCUCUGCUUCGCUUGACUUCGCGCCACUCCUCAUCUUCCUCGUGUGGAUCUGCGAACCCUGUGUACCCCUCCUCAUCCUCCAUCCAUGGUUGGUUUUGAUUUGUUAAUGCUAUAAGAGAGACAUACAUUGAGGAACUUAGCUUCAUCAUGUUCGAGGUACAAGUUCUGGCCCUUCAUGCUUGUUUCCAUCCCAUUUGAUUCCAUUGCAGGCACCUGUAAAUGUAAAAAUGUAUAUAAGCAUUGUUCUGUUAAUCUUGAAACAUGUACUGUCUGCUUGUACAUGUGUUUGCCCCUUUUUGUCAGUUGAUAGGCUUAAUUGAUAUGAAAUUGAUCAUUUUAUUACUUCCUAUGUGUACUCAUUUGUAUUUACAAAUAGUAGUUUGUAGCAAUUUGAACUUCAAGUAGGAAAGAAAGGUCUUUCUAUGUAGUUCCAAAGUUUAUAAAAUUCAGUCCUAGUUUCUUUACUUUCUUGUAAAUGAGUUAUUUUGUAAUCAUGAUCUAAGCUUCUGAUUAGUGUAUAGUUUGUGUGUGCCAAAGUUUCUGAAUUACAGUCCUAGCUUUAUAAAAAUAGCAUUUCUAACCUGUUUGUUCAAGGAUUUUCCUAACUUUUUGUAUUUUAUCUCCCAGAACAUGUGAUCCCUAUCUUUUUUAUACUCAUUUCCAUGUGCUGUAACUGUUGUUUUCAAUUCAGGAACUUCCUAGUAGUUCUGAAAUUCACGAUUUUAACAUGGAUUUUUUGUUUCCUAACCUUUCUGCUCGUGCACCCCUAGACUCAUAGGAUCCUAGGGUUCUUCCUGGAUCUAGUUUAAUUCUUGGUUCUAGUGUAAACUUCCAGAAUUCCUUUUUUUUAGUUUAUUUGUCUCUGCAGCAUGUAUAUAUAAUGGUUCACAGCCGCCCUUUAUUUGAUUUCUGAUGUAGACAGGCAGGGGAGAGAGAUCUGUCUAAAUCAUACUUAGUAUGUGGUGAUUGCAAAGUUGGGGCUGUUUACCUGUGUUUAGUCAUCUUCAGCAGAGUGGAUCAUCUUCAGGUUUCUGUCCCAGAUCAUGGAGGAAUCGCCCUCUUGGUUGGCGCUUAUUCCCGUUUCCUCUAGCUAUUCUCCCCCCUCCAUGUUCUUCCCCUCUGCAGUGCAUUUUUGUAGUGGAUAUUACACUGAAAAUAAUAGUGGAAUUAUUAUUGUAAUUUUAUAGCUUUUCAAUGUAAUUUUUAGUGCUCCAGAGCUUAAUUUGUCAUGUCAUUUUAGGUGUGUGUGCUUAGAUGACAUCAUCCUGAUCCUUUCCUUUUCUUUUCAUAUUGCUUUAGCUUAGUGCACAUGUACAUGGUAAAGCUUGCCUGUAACUUUGCUUCUCUGUCCGAGCGGGAAAAGUUGGGUUGUGGACCCGUUAAGAUCAUGAUGCUGGUGGUGUUUAAGAGUUGGUGUGUGGACCCGUUUAA